UCAAAUUUCCAUUAAAAUGUGUGGUCCAGUGAAGUGAAUCUAAAAUAAGCUGCCUUUGUUUUGGGUGUGAGCUACUGGAAAUAGGUUAAAUAUGUUUUUGACGGUGAAUUGACUCUAUUUAAUAUGUUUACCCUAGGUGCUUAUGGUGAUGUUAUGCGUGUUAAGAUUCUCUUCAAUAAACCCGACACAGCUCUUAUACAGUUUGCAGACUCACAGCAUACACAAACAGGUAAGACACUCUUCUUGUUUAAAACUAAAACGAAUUACCUUCGUUUACACUGGAUAGCUCUUUCAGUUUUAAAUUGAUUCUGCUUGAGGUAUCCAUUAUUGGCUACAUGAGGAG